rnacentral:lncRNA from 1 species
ACCAUGCUAGAUGCUUUCUUAAGCUUGAGGAUACACUAAAACAACAAACAAUACUAUCAAAAGGGAAAGAGCAAACCCCAAGGGGGGUCGCUGAUGGCAAAGGGAAGGAUUUGCAGGAGGCUGUAUUCCCACGCAGUGAGGCUGGGUUCGACUCUUUCCAUCAGCUGAAGAUCUCUCUAUUUACAUCUGGGUGGAGGCUUGUGGGGAACCCACUCAGCCCGGUUUGGGCUACUAUCCUCUGGGGUUGCAACUGGGGGGUGUGGCUGUUCCGAGUCAUCAAAAAAAAAAAAGAAGGGAAAGAGCAAUGUUGUAUAAAUAAAAAUUUCAUACACGACAUUUAAAUAGAAUGA